GAGAGGUGCUCAGAGGGAACACAAGACCCACUUAUUAAGCGGAGUGAUGGUUUUCCAAGGGCGAUCCCCAGGGAGUGCCUAGGCAUCAGCCUCACACACCAUUUGGUGGCUCUCAAGCUCUAUCUCUAAAGGUUUGUGUGGGAAGCGUUCCCUUGACCUGUCUUUCGCCAUCGAUUGACUGGAUGGUUUGGCGAGGGGCAUGUUCCUCUACAAGUUGGAGGAGUGUGUUCUCCCCCGACACCAUGGAGAACUCAAAGACAGAACUCAGGUCCUCAGGCUUGGUGGCAAUUGUCUUUACCUACUGAUAUCUUUUGGAUAAUCAAGUUCAUAGACUAGUUCUGGUGGUGACUUGGAUGAGAUUAUAAUCUAUGAGGAAAAAAACCCAGAAAGUCACUAGAGUCGGGGUUCUGGUGAGAAAAACUGCAGGUUCUCAACUGGGAAGAGAGAGAGGCCUUGGCAGGUACCUGUGCUGAAUUUGAUUGGUUUUUGGUUUUUCGAGACAGGGUUUCUCUGCAUAGCCCUGGCUGUUCCAUUUACCUGGAACUCGCUCUGUAGAGCAGGCUGGUCUUGAACUCACAGAGAUCCUCCUGCCUCUGCAUCCCGAGUGCUGGAAUUAAAGGCGUGCGCCACCAUCGCCCGGCCUGUGCUAGGAUUUUAAAAAGGGAUUUAGUUUUAUUUUAUGUGUGCAGUGUUCUGCCUGCCUGCAUGUGUGUUAGAGCACCAUGUGUGGGUCUGGUGUCCAAGGGGGCCAGAAGAGGGCAUCAGAUCCCCUGAAACUGGAGUUAUGGAUGAUUUUGAGCUGCUGUGUAGAUCCUGGGAACUGAACCUGGGUCCUCUGAAAAAAGCAGCCAAUGCUCUAAUCACUGAGCCUUUUCUUCAGUUUCUAUUCCUUUUUUAAAAAAAUUAGCUGGGUGGUGGUGGUACACGCCUUUAAUCCCAGCACUCGAGAGGCAGAGGCAGGCGGAUCUCUGUGAGUUCGAGGCCAGCCUGGUCUCCAAAGCGAGUUCCAGGAAAGGUGCAAAGCUACACAGAGAAUCCUGUCUCGAAAAACAAAAAACAAACAAACAAAAAUUACUUUUAUUUAUUUUUGUGUGGGGGCGGGGCCCAUGUGUGCUACAGCACAUAUGAGAAGGUCAGAGGACCACUUAGUGAAACUUCCCUCGACUGAAUGGGUCUGGGGGUCAGACUCAGGUGCCUUCACCCAAUAGGCCAGUGCAUCAUGUUGUGGGAUAUUUAACUAUGUAAAGAUGUGUUGCUGUUUUACCUUGCCUGCCUAAGGUACCUCACUGGUCUAACAGAAAGCCGAAUGGCCAAUAGCGAGGGAGGAGGUAUAGGCGGGACUUCUGGGCAGGGAGGGUAAAAACAGGAGAAUUUAGGCUCAGAGGAAAAAAAAAAGAGAGCCACCAGGGAGGCACCAGGGGCCAGACAGAGAGACAUGGAGGAAGCAGGAAAGUAGGAUAUACAGAAAGAAAGAAAGGUAACAGGCCAAACGUAGAUGAAGAGAAACAGGUUAAAAAAUUAUAAGAGCCAAUGGGACAAGUCUAAGCUGAGACCAAGAAUUCAUAAUAAUAAUGUCUCCAUGUCUUCAUCUGGGAGCUGGUUGGUGACCCAAAGAGAAUCCCAACUGCAUCAUUGCCCCAAGAUUUGUCUUGUAUAGCUUCUGUCUUACCAAACAGAGCCGGAGACCUAGUCUAUCUAAGCCUCAGCCUGUCUUGCUGAGUGGGGUGGGGACAGAGGGUCUGAGCUCGGAAACUGGGAGGUCAUCAUGUAAGGGCAACCAGGACAAGAUGAUGUCACUGAGACAUUAAACCCUAUAUAAGGCCCAGUGGGUGCUUCCAAGCCUUGACAGCCUGAGUUCAAUCCCUGAACCCCACGUGGUAUAGAGAACCAACUCCUGCAAGGUGCCCUCUGACCUCCACACACAAGCCCUGGCGUGCAGGUGCUGAGGUAAUAAAUAAAUGAAUGUAGAAAAUGUAUAAAUGCUAGGCAUGGUGGUCCAUGCCUUUAAUCCCAGUACCUGGGAGGCAAAGGCAGGUGGAUCUCUAUGAUUUGGGAGCCAACCUGGUCUACACAGAGAGACCUUGUCUUAAAAAAAUAAAAUAAAGUAAAAUCAAAUGUAAGGCAGAAUCUUAUAGAGAUUUAAUCGUGGCCUGUGAGUGGAGGGCAGAGGACUUGUCCCCACUGUGAGAAGUAUAUAAUCUCACUUAAUAAUGGCAUAGGCGAUAGGAAAUGGUAGAAUCCAAGACAAAAAGCUGGACCCAUCUCCACAGGCUGUCCUUAGGAUGAAGAGAAGUCCACUCACUCAUGUCUGAGCCUUUGUGUGGCAGACAGCCAACCACCCCAAUACCGUCAGCAGUAGUAGUUAUUUCUGUCAGUAUUUAGCCUCAUUUCUCUGAUGGUGCAGAUAUGGAGGACCAGAAAGGUUCAAUAGCAUACGAAAGGUCACACAGCUGGGAAGUAGCAGGAUCAGCUUAGGGGGUCAGUCGUGGCAGACGGUUGGUGUGAUGGUAGUCUACACUGGUGGGGACAGUAAGGACACUGUGGUCACCCCGAAGAAGAAGAACCAGAGUGUUUGUGUAGAAAGGAGAGCACACAGGCUGGACCUUGACGCUGAAAUCAGGUAUUCCUCGGGCAGGAAAACAACAUUGCAGCCACCAGGAACAUGUCUGAAGAGACAGGGCGGAAACAGGACAGGACAGGACAGGGUAAAGGGCAAGGCUUUGGCAUAGGUGAGAUGGGGCUAGAGAGAGAGCAGGACACUGCUCACACAGGCUGCAGAGCAUGGUGUUGUCCCAAGGGCCACAGGGACACUGUGGCUUCGGCGGGGAGGGAGAAGCAGCUUGGCAGACCGGCUCUCUUCCCUUUACUGCUAUCCUGCUGUGUGCACAUCCGGUGGCGUCACCUCCCUCCUUAGAGCGUCUGUUAGGGGGUGAUAUAAUGACCCAGUUGAAAGAUGAAGGCAAAAUUAACCGAGGUGUAGAAGGAAGCACCAUUCCCAAGGUCACAAGGGUAUGGAGUGCUUGUAAGAACCAGAGGCUAGUUUAGAAGGCUGCUGGGUUUGAUACCAAAGAAAAGGUCUUUCUUCCCUAAGACUCCUUUAGAACGGGAAAGAGGAGGCGGGAAGGCCAGAGGAGGUGGGGCUAGUGCUGGAUGGGAAGCCAGGAGUGGGGUAGACUCCCCACACCCCAGAGCCUUCCAGGGGUUCUCAUGCAGAGUCUGGAGCUGGAUGCCUCCCUCCCACCAGAACUACUAACAGGGCCCCCAAGGACCGCUGAUGUCCACACAGCUCUGGGCUGCAGGGACCAAAGCUGAGUGGGGUCAACAGUGGAUUGGUGUGUGCCAAAGACUCCAUCACCAACUUGAAGGAAAAGACUACGAGGGUUAACCAGCAUGUUCAGACGCUGCAGGUGUGACACUUGGAUUCCUGUGCCUCUCACGUGGCCUCUUCCUCCAGGGCUAAGUUCCCACCGUGAAGCCUACCUUCACCAUAGUGCACGCCCAGUCCCCCGCAGGAUAAGACCCUGCUCCCCCUCUAAGCUUUCCCCACUGCCCUGUGUAACCCUGCCUCCUUCCACGGUCAAGAGCGAGUGCUCGGUGCUGAGUGAGAACCUGGAAAGGCGGCGGCAGGAGGCAGAAGAGUUGGAGGGGUACUGCAGCCAGCUGAAGGUGAGCCGCUGUGGAAGGAGUGGGGGGGGCGUG